rnacentral:misc_RNA from 1 species
GUGGAAGCACAGUAAUGUGUGAAGCUAACUUGUACUAAUUGGCUGAUUGUCUUGACCAUAUAAUCUGAGUUACUUCAGAUUGUGAAUGCGAAUACAAGAUGUAGGUUGGGCCAAGGCUCAACCUACGCAGAACUACUUGAAACAAAGUGUGAACUUCUUUAUUUACCUAAUGCUUGAUUGAGGUAUAAUGCCUUACAAUCAAUGCAAAACCAGUUUUCCUGGCGACCAUAGCGGUUUGGAACCACCUGAAUCCAUCUCGAACUCAGAAGUGAAACGAACCCGCGCCAAUGAUAGUGUGAGGCUUCC